GGGGUUGUAGCUCAAUGGUAGAGCACUUGCCUAGCACGUGUGAGGCACUGGGUUCCAUUCUCAGCACCG
rnacentral:tRNA from 1 species